rnacentral:rRNA from 1 species
GAUGAACGCUGGCGGCGUGCCUAAUACAUGCAAGUCGAGCGAACAGACGAGGAGCUUGCUCCUCUGACGUUAGCGGCGGUCGGGUGAGUAACACGUGGAUAACCUACCUAUAAGACUGGGAUAACUUCGGGAAUCCGGAGCUAAUACCGGAUAAUAUAUUGAACCGUAUGGUUCAAUAGUGAAAGACGGUUUUGCUGUCACUUAUAGAUGGAUCCGCGCCGCAUUAGCUAGUUGGUAAGGUAACGGCUUACCAAGGCAACGAUGCGUAGCCGACCUGAGAGGGGGAUCGGCCACACUGGAACGGAGACACGGUCCAGACUCCUACGAGAGGCAGAAGUAGGGAAUCUUCCGCAAUGGGCGGAAGCCUGACGGAGCAACGCCGCGUGAGUGAUGAAGGUCUUCGGAGCGUAAAACUCUGUUAUUAGGGAAGAACAAAUGUGUAAGUAACUAUGCACGUCUUGACGGUACCGAAUCAGAAAGCCACGGCUAACUACGUG